GUCUUGCUGGAGAUCUCCUAUGUACCUGGGGUCUUCUGAAGAAUCACCUCAGCUGGAGAAGAUCUUCAAGAGCUCCAACUCCAACUGUGAACCUGACCCACCAAGUCCCAUUAGCACCACCUCCACGCAUCCUUUGAAUCUCUCCAGGGACAGAGACUCCACCUGUGCAGCCUUAUUAGUUGCAUUUGCAAAUCUCCAGUAAAAUGUAACUUCCUCCGUUAGCCAGGACAGUUGGGACUUCAUCUACUCCCUGAGGUGGAAAACACUGACAGAGGGCUAGGUACCCUGAGAACAAUUUGCCUUACUAAGAAAAGCUGAGAACAAAGGCAUUAAGUACAUCAAGCUGAUCCUCAUCUUUCAUCACGUUUCCUCUUAUAUCCAGUAAGUGUUGGAGAUUCUCCUUAUUCCUCCUUUUGCUGUUGUAUUUAUGAAGCCUUACCUUGAAAUUCAUGUUUAAAUUUCUGGACAAAUGGAAAAGAAAGAAGCCUUAGAUAUUUGGAGUUAAUUGUAAAUAUUUCUCAUGCUUUGUUCUGUGGAAGCAGUUUGUUCCAAAGAUCCUAAUUUUUUUCUCCAGAGCUAUUUGGGAAUGUUCUGUUUGUUGUUUAUUCCAUAGUGUGAUAAUAUAUGAUCAUUGUUCAAAUGCAAACAAUUGCUGACUCUAAUUUAAUGCUAAUUGAAGUAUCUUACCUGCUGCUUUCAAAACACAACUCUACAUCUCUGUAGACAUGUGUGGCAGCCUCAGGACUACUUGAAGCAGGGCAGCCCUCUGCAGAGAGCUGAGUGGGUGCAGCAGAGUGCAGCAAGCCCUGCUGUGUAUGAGGUUUGGGAGGCUGGGCAGAAGCUGGUUAGAGAGCCAUUGCUACCUCAGUGACAAAGCUGGAGUUAGAAUAUAUUCCAUGCUUUCUAGCCAGUGCAGAACUGAAUGCAGGGUGUAACAGUGUCUGGGUAGAAAUAGGAUCUGCCUUGCCCUGUAAGCUAAGGGCUUUUUCUGCUUUAUUCAGGUUUCUGUAGCACUGCUCCAAUAGUUGAAACAGUUUCCUAAGUUUGGGGCUUUCUAAACUUGUACAUGGAAACUU